rnacentral:rRNA from 1 species
GGCAACCUUUACGAAAGACUGAGCUCAGAUCUCGGAAGCUAAGCAGGGCUGGUUAGUACUUAGAUGUGAGACCACUGGGAAUACCAGGUGCCA